GUCAGAUCCUUCAAAGGCUAACUUCCCCAAUCCCUCUCACCACCCCAAAACCCCCGGCUAAAGUAACACGUGAGCGACGGCUACCCCCUAGUGCCCGCGUGAAUGAAACAAUUUCCCCUUUCGUUUUGCUUGCAGCGUCCUGGUUAAAAUGAGAACGAUUUCAGAAAAGGUGUGUGCGGACAACUCCGGAAGCUGCUGCUCCUGGAACACAGCCGAGUCUCCAGGUGCGUGUGGUGGCGGGCACGACGCCCUCCGGGAGUCUCGGGCUGGCGCUGAGUGGAGGCAGACGCGGGCUCUGGCCUCGAGGAGCUCACGGCCGGAUGUAAGUGAGCUCCUGGAGGACAGGGAGAGCGGCUGUCAGAGCGGCUGUUCAGGGCGGCAGGGCUCCUGGCGGGGCACAGCUCCUGGGUGCAGGGUCCUGCACAACGUAGCGGGGCCUGGACCCCCCUCUCGGAAGGCUUUUAAAUGCAGGAAACGGAACACACAGGACAUGCGGGGCACAAACGGAACCCUUCAUCAAAAGACCGUCGACACCACACGAACUCAUCCGUGCGGGUCUGUCGUGCAACCGGGCAGGGGAGCCGAGUACAGGUGACGCCGGGAGCGGUCUCCACCCGUCACGUGCCAGGAAAGUGUCCGUGCCCUCCACACAUCCUGCCAAUGCCACCGUGGCCUGCCAACAUUCACAGCGGAAAUGCCAAAAGUCAGGAGAGACCGUGCAAAUAGUGUUUCCUUAAUCCAGGUUCAAACUCCCUGGGUCUGUAAGUCGGGGUGAAAAACAUAACUGCAACCUGAGCCCACCUGCCCAGGCCUGCGGGUCCCCCACGACCCCGGGGACAGCCAGGCUCCUUCCCCACCCGGCUCUCGCCACCUAAACCCACCUGGCCUUGGAGGACGGACGUGAUGAAAACCGCCGGACCCUCCUCCCAGAAACACACACCCAGGGACACACGUUAAGGAACAGACUCCAGGAUCCCAGUGGAGCUUCAGCCCGGGACAGUCAGGAUGCCACAUCUCUCGCAGGGCUGUGCGGGGACCAACCGCCUUUGCGGACAGGGUGGUCUCGAGCCAGCGAGGAGCCCCCCUCGCACCCCCCCCGCCACACUGGCAAAGCCAGGGUGAGUCACACGGCCCAGCCUCCUGCCUGCAAUGUGACACUGUGGGUGUCCCACGGGGCUCUGUGGGUUCAGCUGGUGCCUUUGCCUGGGGACACAGGGAACCUCCAGCCCCGAGACGAGGACCAGAUUUUUCUGGAGACAAAGUCCCCUGACCCUGUGAGGACUUUUUUUUAGGGCACAUUUACCCUUUCACAGCUGGCCUGUCCGUUCACCCCAAAUCAGCAUGUCCAGCCGUGUCCUGGGAGGGCCCGCUCUUGAGUGGAGGUAGACACGGGGACAGACAGAAAGAGCAUACAGGCUAGACUUUUGGGGGAGGGAUGGGGGUGGAGAAAUCUCCCAGGGUCCUUUCCCGGAGGGACGUGUGCAGGUGGUGCCCGUGGGGCUGAGUGACUGAUGGGGACAGCUACCUGGCAGACAUCGGUGACCCCUUCCCCCUGGCAGGUGUGGGGGGAGGUUCGGGGUACAACUCGGUCAGGCUCAGCGCCGGCUCUGUGGGCACCAUCUGGGACCACCAUCCAGGGCAGAGCGCAGGCGCCUCAGGGGACACAGGUGAAGAGCAGCCCUGCUCUCAAGGAGCUCCAGGGGCACAGGGAACAAGGCGCGAACAGGAUGAGCUGUGGCCGCGGCCCUGCCCCGAGCCCGUGGACACUGGCAGAAGACAGGAGAGGUGCGAGGAGGCUGAGCUGACAAGGGCUGUGGGAGAAGGGGACGGGGACUAGGGGCAGACGGGGGAGGCCAGGGCAGGAGCGGACUUGGUUUUGGCACAGUUCACAGGACACGCGCUCAGAUGUCAAACGUGGGUGCCCGCACAGGCCGGGAGAGGCUCGGGGACAGACAGUGUCCAGGGCCCUGAGGUCUUAGAUCUGAGAUGACAGGGCACAUGCAAGAGGACGCAUGGGGACAGGAAGACCGUUGAGUCCACCGAGAACAGAGCUAGGAAGCAGCCCGCACUCUAGUUUCCACUUCUGGAGACGCCCUGCUGAGCCGAGGGGGUUCACCUGGUCUGGCACACAAGCUCUGAAGGCCUUUGAGGGCAGGCGGGGUCCCCAGAGAGGCUGUGAGGGCCCCUCCUUUGGAGGCCUCCGUCAGCCAGACCCAGGACGCGGUACUGGGCGAGGCACACCCCCAGCACCUCACAGCCACACACCAAGGCGUAGCUCGGCCGCUAGAAAAGGAAACGGUUACCUGCUCGCCAGAGGUAGGGACCUACGGGGUCUCCUCACUCCAAGGUGGGUCUUCCUGGACUGCAGACCCCAAGGGCACCACGUCCCUGCUGCCAGCCCUCACUGCCUUGGGGUGACUUUGCCUACAUCGGGGGUGGGGGGAAGGCACAGGCCCUGGCGGGCUCCCCCUGUGCGAGCUCUGUCACUUCCGAGAAGGACUGCCCACCGGCGGGGUCUAACGAUCUAGACUCAGUAAACUUUUCCUCCAUUACCAGCAGGCCAGCAAAGGCGUGGAAUCCAGCGGCACGGUGCGGUCAACAGCCCGACCGUGGAAUGUCACAGUUAUGGCUUCCAGGCACGGAUGCCAGAUCUAACGGCAAAGGUCACGUGCACAGUCACGCCUGUGUUCACGGCAGGCCGCUGAGCCCGCCCCCCAGCCACGCCCACCCCCUUCCUAGUAAA